rnacentral:rRNA from 1 species
UACGUAGGGGGCAAGCGUUGUCCGGAAUCAUUGGGCGUAAAGCGCGUGUAGGCGGCUGAGUAAGUCUGCUCUGAAAGCCCGGGGCUCAACCCCGGGAGGCGGGUGGAUACUGCUCAGCUCGAGUCCGGAAGAGGAGUGUGGAAUUCCUGGUGUAGCGGUGAAAUGCGCAGAUAUCAGGAGGAACACCAAUGGCGAAGGCAGCACUCUGGGGACGGUACUGGACGCUGAGACGCGAAAGCGUGGGGAGCAAACAGG